AACGCGAAGAACCUUACCUGGGCUCGAAAUGUACAGGAAUCCGGUGGAAACAUCGGCGUCCCGCAAGGGACCUGUAUAUAGGUGCUGCAUGGCUGUCGUCAGCUCGUGUCGUGAGAUGUUGGGUUAAGUCCCGCAACGAGCGCAACCCUUAUCUUCAGUUGCUACCAUUUAGUUGAGCACUCUGACGAAACCGCCUCGGAUAACGGGGAGGAAGGUGGGGAUGACGUCAAGUCCUCAUGGCCUUUAUGUCCAGGGCUACACACGUGCUACAAUGGCCGGUACAAACCGUCGCAAACCCGCGAGGGGGAGCUAAUCGGAAAAAGCCGGCCUCAGUUCGGAUUAGAGUCUGCAACUCGACUCUAUGAAGCUGGAAUCGCUAGUAAUCGCGGAUCAGAAUGCCGCGGUGAAUACGUUCCCGGGCCUUGUA
rnacentral:rRNA from 1 species